rnacentral:lncRNA from 1 species
GGGAAUUUUUUUCUUCCUAGAACUGAGCUGGAAGUUUGAAUGAGGGUUGAAUACUUAGAACAGACAGGCUUUGAAGCUGGUUGAAACAUCCAUGUAAAUGGAACAUUGGCAAUUGAUUCCCCCCCCCCCCAGUAAUGGGUAACAACUUCAUGUUUGGAAAAUUCCUUAUUCAAGCUCUGUGGAAUAACUGUUUCUGCAUUGUCUUUGCUUGUCUUGAUUCUUACUGGACUGACUUUUACAUCAUAUGAGUACCAGGCUGACCAGGUUAAGCGUGGCCCAGUAACAUAAAUAGAAAUUUAGAAAUACUGUAAGUAAUUAUCGUUAUCUUAGUCUGGAAGUAUUUUUAAAUGCAUGGCCAGAAUUUUAAAAGUUGACUUGAGCUUUUUCCUUGUAUUAGUAUCAUGAUGAAUUUAAGAUUUUUUCAGUUUUUUUAACACGUCUUUCAUCUUGGACAAGUUCCCUUUCCUGGUGAAUUAUGCGGUGGCAUUUCAACCUUGUGCCAGCAGAAGGUGAUGGGGGAAUGGCCAAGGGUUAUGCAGAUGGAUGAGGGAGACUACUUCUUUUGACAGUAAUGGUAGCUUAAAUAACUGCAUUAAACUCCAAUGUAGUACUUGAUUUAAUUUCCUGUUUGUAUUUGAAUAUUUACAUAAUAUAAACAUUUUCAUAUCUUUUAAGCAUCGCUCUGUACCUGUAAUAUUCUGAAUAAUCUUCAGUUUGAUCUGUAGGAAUAAUGGCUUUCCGUCCAUUGUAGUCUUAGAUACCCGUAGGCAUAUAUCAUAUAAAUGAACAUUAUGUUGUAGGAAAUGGUUAAUUCCACUCCUUAUUUGUUGUUUUUCAAAACUAAUAGCACAGGCUAGUGAUACAUUCCAGAGAAGACUUGAUUUGCCCAGUAAGAUAGGACUGGGCAAAUCUCAGUAAUAAAGAAAAAUACUUUGUGUGUAGGCAUUGGGUACCUAAUUCUUAAUUCAUAAUAGGAAUCUGCCAGUGUAAUCAAGCAUUUUUGGUUAUAGCUUUUAUAGAACCUACUUCUUGUCACCAGGAUGAUGAACAGUGCUGUAACUCUUACCCGAAUGUGUAGUUAGAAGCUGCUACUUGAAACUCAUUUUCUCCAUAAUGAGUUUUUACAUGAGCCUUGUGAAUAUUCUGGUAAAUCGGCACUCUUCUGAUGUAUGAAAAUGGCAGAAAUCAUGAUUUUAGGAAAACAGUUUUGUUGUUGCAAGUAUUUCUGUAAACUAGAAAUAAAGAGGGUUGGGAAACACAUGACCCUUCUGAGGUGGGUGUGCGUGUAUGCGUUCACGCUAAGCUUUAGGAUGAAGCAUUCUACCACCAGGUGGCGAUCUUGCUAUUCAAAGAUUAAAACCAAAAAA